rnacentral:lncRNA from 1 species
GAAUUUUUCAAGUCCACUUUUAGUAGGUAAGUCAAAACCAAACAAAAUAACCAUUCCACACCUGGUCCAAUGCCCUUCCAAACUCACUCUUUUCUCUGACCCUGAAACACUUGUCCUGCAUCUCCCAGACUCCACCGUACCUUGAUCAGCAGGUCCCUCUUCACUGCAGUGUCUUUUUUGCAGAGUUCUUUUAGCUCUUUCAUGCUUUUGCUAUGGGCAGAGGAAAGAAAGAAGGGGAAAUUUGGGAAUCGGGGGAGAUUUGUGAGUUCCAGUCCCUUUUGUUUGAAAACCCAGUGAAUCCCAGCUUACUGGGUGAGAGUUUUCAGUGGAGUCCUCUGAUCACAGGGGCUCCAGAGGACCAGGGUGGGACCUCUCAUGCUCCUCCCCUGGGCCCCAUCUCCACUUCACAUGAGCCACUGCGUGUUUACAGUUAGCUUUCAGUUGGACACAGAGUUCCACUGCUGGGUACAAACACCUGAAAGCCUCCAGUUGGCUCCAGUCUGUUCCUGAUGGUGAAAAAACCUUAGUCCUGAGUUGGAAAUCCUUGCCUAGCAGUCCAGGGCAGCUUAGUGACCACAGCCACCGGCCCAUCCCUGCCUCCAGUGUCCCUGGACUCCAAGAACCUUUCAGAGUCAUUGAGGGCACAUGGGGGGAGACCUGUGAGUCCCUAGGUCAACCCUGAUGCUGCCAUGGAGAGAGCCCUCCUCACCUGGACACUCCUGCCCACGUCUUGUGUAGCUGACCUAUUGGGUUGCUGCGCAGAGCAGAGACGAUGACGUGCACCGAGGAGAAGUUGUUGAGGCUUAGGCACUCCUGGAGAGGGAAGAGUGAGCUGUGCGGUUCAGAGUAGAGCCCGGCCCACUUCAGCCUCAGCCCCCUCUGCUGAGAUCUCCCCUCCUGGAUGAAGCAGAGGCCUGGGGAGCCUCAGGAGGGCAGACCUGGGGCCCAGUGGAUGUCACUCCUCUAGGAGGAUUUUAGUUCAACCCAAGGAAGACCCCAGGUCGGAAGUGAGCAGCCACCACUGGGCCGUGGGAGUCAAGUCUGGAGAAACAGCUACGGCCAUCCCAGCCCUGGCCAAGGGGAAAAUGCCGGAAGACUCCAGGGUGGGAGGAAGCGCGUCCCAAGGCCCAGGAUCUGCGAGGCGACUCGGGGAAAACGCAGGCAGGACCUGCUGAAGCUCACACCCGUGGACCACCCAGACUGCCUGCCGCUACAGGAUGCCCUCCGCAUCUCCCAGGACUUCUUUCUGGCAUCAGUGUGGACAUUGACCCCGCUGGACUGCAGUCACAGUGGACUCCCAAGGGGCAGGAUCCACCUCUGAUGUUCAGUGAAGACUACCAGAAAAGUCUGCUAGAGCAGUACCAUCUGGGUCUGGAUCAAAAACGCAGAAAAUACGUGGUUGGAGAGCUCAUCUGGAAUUUUGCCGAUUUCAUGACUAACCAGUGUUCCUGCUCCAGCGCGACUCCUGGUCUGGCGCCAGGUGCUGGCCCCGGGGGUUUCAAUCCAAGCAUAAUUCAGUGAAGCAUGUGUUUGGCAGUGGGACCCAGCUCACUGUUUUAGGUCAGCCCAAGACUACCCCGUCGGUCAUUCUGUUCCUGCCGUCCUGUGAGGAGCCCCAAGCCAACAAGGCCACACUGGUGUGUCUCAUGAAUAACUUUAUCCGGGAAUCUUCAUGGUGACCUGGAAGGCAGAUGGUACCCCCAUCACCCAGAGCGUGGAGAAGACCACGCCCUCCAAACAGAGCAACAGCAAGUACGUGGCCAGCAGCUACCUGAGCCUGACGCCCGAGCAGUGGAGGUCCCGCAGAAGCUACAGCUGCCAGGUUAUGCAUGAAGGGAGCACCGUGGAGAAGUCAGUGGCCCCUGCAGAAUGUUCAUAGGUUCCCAGCCCCCACCCCACCCACAGGGGCCUGGAGCUGCAGGAUCCCAGGGGAGGGGUCUCUCUCUGCAUCCCAAGCCAUUCAGCCCUUCUCCCUGUACCUAGUAAACCCUCAAUAAAUAUCUUUG